UGAAGGGCUUUAGCUCAGUGGCAGAACAUUUGCUCUGCAUGCAAAUAGUUCCAGGUUCAACUCCUGGCCUCUCCA